CAGCAGUGGGGAAUAUUGCACAAUGGGCGCAAGCCUGAUGCAGCCAUGCCGCGUGUAUGAAGAAGGCCUUCGGGUUGUAAAGUACUUUCAGCAGUGAGGAAGGUGGAUAUGUUAAUAGCAUAUUCAUUUGACGUUAGCUGCAGAAGAAGCACCGGCUAACUCCGUGCCAGCAGCCGCGGUAAUACGGAGGGUGCGAGCGUUAAUCGGAAUUACUGGGCGUAAAGCGCAUGCAGGUGGUUUGUUAAGUCAGAUGUGAAAGCCCGGGGCUCAACCUCGGAAUUGCAUUUGAAACUGGCAAACUAGAGUACUGUAGAGGGGGUAGAAUUUCAGGUGUAGCGGUGAAAUGCGUAGAGAUCUGAAGGAAUACCGGUGGCGAAGGCGGCCCCCUGGACAGAUACUGACACUCAGAUGCGAAAGCGUGGGGAGCAAACAGGAUUAGAUACCCCGGGUAG
rnacentral:rRNA from 1 species